CGGCGCCCGCGGGACGUGGCCGUGGCCGCGCUCGCUGUCUUGUGGCUCCCGGUCCCGUGCUCCGUGCCGUGGUCGCGCCUUGGGGACGGGUGGUGCGGUGACGGGGUGAUGCGGUGACACCGUGACACGGUGACACGGUGACGUGGUGACAAGGUGAUGCAGUGGCGUGGCGGUGCGGUGGCGUGGUGACACGGUGACGCGGUGGCCAGCACGGCCUGGCAGGAGGUCUUGCAGGAGAGGGGCUGGGGACAGGGGGACACACGGGCAGGGCUGGGGACCUGUGCCGGCGGUGGCGCCCCGUUACCCAUGGGGACACGGCGUGGGGACGCUCCCGACGCGCUCCCCGUGGUGUGACACCGGUCACCCGUCUUUGUGCAAUGCCUUCCUCACUCCCCACAGCCUGCGUCCCCGCCUGUCCCCGCGUGUCCCCGCGUGUCCCCGUGCGUCCGUGUGUCCGAGCUAUGCAUUCCUGUGGACAGGUACCAUGUGGACUUGCGACGAGAGGGUUCGAUUGUGUUGCACAUUUUGUAGGAAAUGCACUUUUAAGAGGGAAUCUUAAAAAAAAAAAAAAAAGAAAGAAAAUGAAAGAAAGAAAACAAAAAAAAAAAAAAAAAAAAGGAAAAAAAAACAAAAAAAAAAAACACAAAAAAAAAAAAAAAAGACAAAUAAACUGCAUGGUGCUUUAACAGGAUCUCGUGACCUGGCUCAACCCAUCCGUGGAU
rnacentral:lncRNA from 1 species